rnacentral:misc_RNA from 1 species
GAUAUGUAAACAUAAUUAUAGUUUCCGAACGAACACCCGUCACUUAGUUCAUCAAUCCUGUCACUAGUGUCGCUACUGUCAAUGCGAAAUCGAAAAUUGCUCUUAUCAUUGUUGUGAACUUUUAAUUCGUAUUAAAACUAAUAAUUAACUAUUCUAUUCGGCGUAUUAUUUCCUCAGGUUAUGGGCCGUCCCAUAAACGCAAUAUAGAACUGAGGUUAAUUAUCUGAGUUUCGUAAAAAAGUCAGUACAACUAGAAAUACGUGGAAUAAUUUGUACCGGGAACAAUGGCUACGUCUAACUUGCAAAUUGAGAAAUUAGCCGGUCGAGAAAACUACUCGACGUGGAGGUUCGCCGUCAAAUCGUAUUUGGAGCACGAGGAUUUAUGGGAAUGUGUUGAUCCGGGAAAUCCAGUGGAUUCCAAGAAAGACAUCAAAGCCAAGUCCAAGAUAAUUUUAUUAGUGGAGCCAAUCAACUAUGUUCACAUUGAAACGGCAAAAUCAGCUAAAGAUGUGUGGUUUAGCUUGCAAAAAGCAUUUGAGGACUCCGGGUUGUCAAGAAAAGUGGGAUUGUUACGUGAUUUAAUCAACACAUCGCUUGAUAAUUGUUCAAGUAUCGAAGAUUAUGUGAAUAAGAUUAUGGGCACUGCAUACAAAUUAAGAAAUAUAGACUUCAAAGUAGAAGACGAGUGGCUAGGCACACUCAUGCUGGCAGGUUUACCCGAUAAUUACAAACCAAUGAUCAUGGGUCUGGAAAGUUCCGGCGUUAAGAUAUCAUCAGAUUUUGUCAAGACUAAACUUUUGCAAGAAGUCAAAGGUUCGGAGUCGUCUGCGUUCUUGGCUAAAGGGAAGAGUACUUCUUAUCAAAAUCAAAUUACAAAACCCAAAGGAAAAGGUCCGCGUUGUUUCAGCUGUAAUCGGUAUGGACAUUUCAAGAAUCAGUGUACAGCGAAGAAGCCGAACAAUGUUCAACAUGGUUUUUCAGCAGUUUUUUCAGCUUGCAGUCCUUCGAUAAACAAGGAUGAUUGGUAUGUUGAUUCUGCUGCGACAAUGCACAUGACAAGGCGUUCAGACUGGAUGUAUGACUUCAAACCACCUCCGGUUGACAAGAUAAUGGUGGCAAACAAGGAUUAUGUCAUAGUUGAGAAAAUGGGUAAUGUAAACAUUCAAACAGGCUCAUGUAAAGAUGGUUGUCCUAUCCAGCAGCUUCCGGCAUCAGACACCAGACCAGUGCACCGUACACUCAUGAGCAGAACGGCCUUGCGGAGAGGAUGAUGAGAAGUCUGGUGGAGCGUGCAAGAUGCAUGCUUUUUGAGGCAAAGCUGAAAAAAAAUCUGUGGGCUGAAGCAGUUGCCUGUGCUGCUUAUGUCAUCAACAGAUCACCGUCACGAGUUUUGGAUGAGGUAACACCAUACGAGAAAUGGACAGAUUUCAGAUCCGCUGACUGUCGAAGAAGCUUUGGCAAGCGCUAAUGCUCAACACUGGAAAGACGCUAUGGAUGAGGAGUAUCGGUCCUUAAUAGAGAAUAAUACAUGGGAAAUUACUACUCUACCGCCAGGCAAGCGUCCGAUACCAUGUAAGUGGGUCUUUAAAACCAAGACGGAUGCAAA